rnacentral:lncRNA from 1 species
GAUGAAGGCCACUAUGUGGUGAAUAGCUGCUGCAAUAAUGGCAUGGAGCUGGGACCAGGCUACAGGAUGAGCUGGGCUAGACAGUGAGUUGGACAUACCUGCUAUGAGUGCUGAAAACUUCAGCAAAAGUGGAGUUGAACCCUUUUGUUUCCUCAACAUGAAAUCAUGGUUGAACAGCAGUGAUUCUGCUAAGUUUGUUAGCUCUACUUGGCAAGCGUUUCAGAGCUAUCCUACAGAACAGACUGAUAUGGAUGGAUUGGUAGAGAGGGAAGACAUUAUUAGCCCAUGGUUUCACGGAUUCACAUAUACUCCAAAAUGUCAAGAAAGAGAGCAACAGAUGUAAGAAAGCCUAAAUUCAGUCCUGAUCUCUGUUAUACUCUGAAGAGUCUAUUCAUGAGAUUAUUAAAGAUGAAGCUGAUCAGAUACCUUUGGUAAUGCCUACUACAUGUGCUAUGAUAUUAUUUCACAGGACAUCUUG